UGACUUAUCUGUAGAGGCCCUCCCCUA
rnacentral:piRNA from 1 species